rnacentral:rRNA from 1 species
UACGUAGGGUGCAAGCGUUGUCCGGAAUUAUUGGGCGUAAAGAGCUCGUAGGCGGUUUGUCGCGUCUGCUGUGAAAACUGGGGGCUCAACCCCCAGCCUGCAGUGGGUACGGGCAGACUAGAGUGCGGUAGGGGAGAUUGGAAUUCCUGGUGUAGCGGUGAAAUGCGCAGAUAUCAGGAGGAACACCGGUGGCGAAGGCGGCACUCUGGGCCGGUACUGACGCUGAGGAGCGAAAGCGUGGGGAGCGAACAGG